AGUCGUGCGGAGAGCACAGAGCGAGCUAUUCUUUCGCCUUAUACUAAAGAAUACCUUGUGCUCGCCACUUAUAGCGGCAUACGCCUAGUUUUGGAGGCCUAUUUCCUUUUCCGGAAUGG
rnacentral:snRNA from 1 species